GGGGAUAUAGCUCAGUAGUAGAGCACGUGCUUAGCAUGCCUGAGGUCCCGGGUUCAAUCCUCAGUACUACCA
rnacentral:tRNA from 1 species